rnacentral:lncRNA from 1 species
CAGAAAGAGAGACGUUCGCCAAGACAACUGGCCUGGAAAAAAUGGUGGGAGGACUGUUUCAGAUUCAAAGAGACAAAAGGCACAUAGCCAUACCCAGUGCAUCCUCCCUGAUCACAUCCAGGUUUGGAAAAAAUAGCCAUAAAAGAAGUUUGGGGGGCGAUUGGGGAAAUUUUGAAGGAAGGCUUGGAAUUAGCUGAUAUCAGGCGAUUAUUGUUAGUUUGUUAGAUGUGAUCAUGGUGUUGUGGUUACGGAGGAGAAUCCUUUUUGGUUGUUUCUCAAGGAUAUUCACAGGAGGUGUUUGGGUGAGAGGUCAAGAUGUCUGCAAGUUUCUUUGAAAUCCUUCAGUAAAAACCACCUGCACAGACAUGCAGGUAAAGCAAACGGGGCAGACGAUGCAUCAGGUGAGAAUCUUCUGGAGGUCGGCCUGGAAGUCUGUAUUUUUAUCAAGAGCUUCUGGUGAUUCUCGACCUCGGAAGAGUUGGGCAAGCACGAGGGCACAGGUGUGCAAAGCCAUGCGAAAGGAUGGCCUGUGGAAGCAGCGGAGUCAGCCACAGCAAGAGUGGAGGGGGUGCCUCUGCAGUGCCCGCGGAGCCCUCUCCACACGGAAGACAGCACCUUUCUCUUCUCGGUGGCACUCGGGUACAACCCCAGCGUGUCCUUGUCCCCACAUUCCAGUCCUGAGAAUUUGAUUGGAAGAUGCCUUCCCACAAGGAGUGUCUGCAGAUGGAAAUGUGCUGGCGGGAGUGUGCAUGCGUUGGGCGCCCUGGCAGUGUGAGUUCUCGCUGUAAAUUAAUCCUGUAGCGUGCUGGAUGGAUGCCAAAACCUCAUAAGCUUGCUGAAAGUAUGUCAGCCCCUGAAAGAUGGACUAAUUCUUUUUUCUUUACUUUUUUUAGCCUGCAAAAAGGAGAGCCCUGGUGAAUUUGCUAGGGUAAGUCUGUCACUUCGGAUGUUUCUGGGGAAACACCCAGACGCCUCUCUCCAAACAACCUCCCCCUCUGUUUCCCUGUGAGCUGCUGCAGCAGUUAGACAAGCGGUCUCUGUCACCGAGAUAAGGGUGUCGCAGUGGUACAGUGGACGCCCACCCAGACACACUGGAAAUAGGCCCUGCCUGCCUGCGGCCCCUUGCAGUCUCAUUGGCAUGCUGCAGCCCCCUGGCCUGCAUUCAGUUCCUCAAGUGCGCCAAGCUCCUUCCUUUCUCAAGGCCUUUACACUUACUAUUCCUGGAGGAUUGUGUCUUUCCGGCUCCGCAUGUAGCCCUUCAAAAGGCUGACUCCUCCCUUAGGUCUUAGCUCAAAUGUCACCUUCUCAGAGGAGCCUUUUUAGACCACACUCUUGCCAGUAGUGGCCCUUUCUUUAUGGUAGCACUUAACACAAACAGAAAUUACAUCGUUUAUUCAUCUAUUUACUUCUUUGCUAUCUGUCUGCCCAUAACAGAUUUCAAGCUCUACAAGUACAGGACUGGGGCUGGGUCUGCCUUAGUCACACUUAGAACCUCCGUAUCUUCAAAGACCUACCACACAGAAAUUCACAGUCAGUACCUGUGAGCGGAAGGAAUGAGUCUCAGGGUUGGAAGGGGCCACAAAAGACCCCAGGCCCAGUGCCCCGACCUGUACUUAAACACUCUCCAGCAGAGUUGGAGACCCAGUCCAUGGCCUGGUGCCCAGUCCAUGAGCGUGUUUUCACCCAAACUGCAGCAAAGCCAGAUGAGCAAGAAGAGUUUUUUUUUCACUGCUCUAAACGUAUUCAACUUAAAGGACUUCACUCUGAGAUUAUGCUCUUCCUAUUUUAGGGGUAUUAAAGUGUCUUAUAUUAAAUCACUGUGGUAGUAAGUGGUAUUUGGCUAUUUAUGUCUUUAUUUGGAAAAAUAAAAACAAAAACUUGGCGACUUUAGUUGAUCUCCUGGUUUUUCUGGCCCCUGAAAUUCAGAAGUCUGGAGGUCACAGCCACAUCCAUGCCUCUUAGCGGCUGUUUAGAUGAGGCUCGAUUGGCCAUUGCAUCCCUGGUUAGCAUGACGAUUAAGAUGUGCUUUCCGUGAGCCUUUGGUCUGUCUCUCCGUCCCUCCCGCCCAUGGCAGCCAUGGAUGGAAGCGCACCCUCAGCUCUCCUUUAAGAGCCUGCUGCAGGCUGCUGCUGCCAACUCCAGCUGCUACCUCUU